rnacentral:tRNA from 1 species
AGGGAGACAACACAAUGAUUUUGAUGCCUGAGUGUUUUUAUUCUUAGGCCGAAAUCCUGUCACCUUAGGUCGAUCGGUACCUCAGCUUUGAAGUCAAGGAUCACCAGCAAUGUUGAUUGCUUGAUGGAGAUUUUCAGUUCCUAAACUUUGUCUAGGUCACACCCCAAAAGGGAUGAGACUCCUGGGCCAUUAGCUCAGGUGGUUAGAGCGCACCCCUGAUAAGGGUGAGGUCCCUGGUUCAAGUCCAGGAUGGCCCAUUCGGUGUUGGGGGUUUAGCUCAGUUGGUAGAGCGCCUGCUUUGCAAGCAGGAUGUCAGGAGUUCGAGUCUCCUAACCUCCACUGACCGAACUUGAUUCCCAUCUCCAAUUUUUUGGAGUUGAGCUCGAUUGGAGUGUGAUUUAGAUGUGUCCGCUGGAUGACCCCAGCUUCCUGUCAUUCCAAGUUUUAGGUUGAUGCCUUGAAUUUGGUUGAUAAGACGCUGGGCUCGGAUUAAAUGAUCAAGUGAUUGAUGAUUUGAUCUGAAGUUCUAGCAGAACCUUGACAACUGCAUAGGUGAGUCUGGAAAAAACAAAGCAUCUUACAGAUGCAUUGUUUUGAAUCUGAUCUUCUGAAAAGGAGAUUAGAUCUAGAACAAUGAAAAUUCUUUUGAGCAAGAGCCGAGACUCUUGAGCGUUCUUUAAUUCGUGUCGAGCGAAUCAAAGUUUGAUCUUGUUUUUAUCAAUAAAAACUUGAGAAUCUGCUUUCAACGGCGGUAAGCGUUCAGGAGGUUAAUU